UACAGAGACUGCAAGCGUUAUCCGGAAUCAUUGGGCGUAAAGCGUACCGAUAGGUGGUUUUACAAGUCAGAAGUGAAAUCUCUCAGCUUAACUGGGAGACUGUCUUUUGAAACUGUAAAACUAGAGGGGCAAAGAGGAAGCUGGAACGAACGGUGUAGUAGUGAAAUGCGUUGAUAUCGUUCGGAACACCAAUAGCGUAGGCAGGCUUCUGGGUGCCACCUGACACUGCUAGGACGAAAGCGUGGGGAGCGAAUGGG
rnacentral:rRNA from 1 species